GAGAGUGUGGAAAAUAUUUUGGAACGAUGAAGGUGCUGCUUUUGAUUUUUCUACUUUCUGUCGGCGUAUUAUGCACGGCAUUCUCAAGUGGUAGGAUUUAUUAUUCACCUUGCAGAAUUUACGAGGAAUUGGAAAAACCAGAAAAAUGCAAACCAAGGCAAAUAAAAAGCGUUUGUCACCGCGAUUGUAUUGUAAGGAAUAAAGAACUUUGUAUUUCUAUA